GCCAUAGCUCAGUGGUAGAACAUCUGCUUUGCAUGCAGAAGGUCACAGGUUCAAUCUUUAGCAUCUCCCAGUGUUACUGGUUGGACA